rnacentral:tRNA from 1 species
ACAGGAUAAAAAAAAGAAUAAAAAAUAUAGAAAUUCUAUAUAGAAUCUAUAUCUAAUUAGAUUCUAUCUAU